rnacentral:miRNA from 1 species
UCUUCCUGAAGUAGGAAGGGGAUUGAGCCAGGCUCCCUGUAUUCCCAGCACUUGGGAGGCUGAGGCAGGAGGA